rnacentral:lncRNA from 1 species
GUCGUUCCUCCAGCCCAGGCCUACGACUGCUCCGCCGGUCGUCCCCCCAGGCAGCCGCCGGCGAAGUUGUGCGCCGUCUCCUCCGGCGCCGGGGACGACGAGGUGAGGAGGUAGGGUCCUUCGUUUCUCAUCUCGUACAUCAGUGCUUUGAUUAUAUUGCUGUUUCGUCUCAUAUAUAAUCCCCAAGGCGGCAGCGGAGAGAUCUCCGAUCCAGAGUUGAAUUUUGUGCGGCAAUGGGAGGGUAUGAUAUGAGGUGAUAUUUUGCCCAACUGGGAAUUAACAAAUUGGAAUGGGAAACUGAUGAGAUCUCAUCCGUAGUGUUCCUGUUAGGUCAGUGACGGCAUUUGGUAUUCUAUUUUGGGGAUGACAGGUGCAUGCUAUUCUAAUGCUGUACCAGUCUCUUGCUGGAUGUUAGGCCGUUUGGGCAUGCUUAGCUUAAUCCCCUUCCGAUGCUGCUUUGGAUAGGUGUUUACUGAUUAGGUAUUUGGUAUUCUAUUUUCUGUUGUUGACUAUUUGGCUCCUUUAAAGCGAGAUAAGUUUUAACUUUAAAGUGUGACCAUGCAUUUCUGGAAAACAAAGAAACUCUAUUUAGUCGCAUACUGGUUGAAUUAAAGAAAUCUAGUGCAAGUAUAUUGUAGGGGACAUGCAAGUCCUCCUUUUAAUGUAGGAGCAGAGAGAGGGAGCCUACUCUGUUAUAAGUUUUGCAUUCCGCACUCCGUUGGAAUUCUUCAUAAGUUGAUGUCAGGGAGAUUUCUUUGGAACGUUAGGCUGUUAAUAUCUGUAAAUGCUUACCGAACUAUUUUAGGUAUUAGGGAACAUGGCAACAACUUUUGCUACACCACUCAAAGGUUAAAAAAUUUAGUAUAAAGUUCAUCAACUGACUUUCUGGUACACUCUGUGUGAUAUUUGUUUCUGAUAGUGUCUGCCGACAAAUGCCUGCUCAAGUAUCUAGUGUAUGUGUAUCCACUUUUGGCUGUAGUAGCCUUGAUAUUCAGGAAUGCUUCCUGUGUUUGAUUUCUUAUUUAGGAUUCUUACCCUAAUCUUGUCUAAUUAUGUUUUCACCUUUUAUCUAAGGGUGAGGCUUUUCAAGUGAUUGAUGGAUCCUUCUAGGCAGGAUCAGUUCUUCCCUAUGUAUUAUUUCUAUCUCUGCAUAUUAUCCUUUAUCUCCUCAAACGACUAAGUAAUAUUGCAUAUUUUCUUAAAAACAUGUCACCACAUAAUCAGAUCUUGUGAUCUUCUGGUACUUUGACUUCCUCCCUGACCCUGAUCUAAAAGAAUCAUAAUGGCAUCACAUUGUGGAAGUUUGCUUGCUUAUAAUGGAUGUUCUUAGAAUAACUAAGUAAAACACCAUGGCCAUAAUCUGCUACUCUGCUUUGUUAUUCGGUUCACUUGGCUUGUUGUCUUUUGCUGAGUUGGUUUCCAUUUCGUGAAUUCACUAUAUAUGUAGAUGUAGGUAGCCUCAGCAUGUGUUGGCUUCCUUUUGUACCGUGCUUUAUAAUCUAAUAGAAGUUAAAGGGGAGAAACUUUUUAGUCUUAUCCAUAUCAAAGCUUUUCUCCAAGUUGGAUGCUGUGGAGUGUUGGAGUAAAAGCAAGCAGGAAUGAUGGCGUCUUGUCGGUCCAUGCAUGCACUACGUUAUUAAUCAAUUAGAAGAAAAAUCUUAUCUUAAUUUUACACAGGAGCAGUUUCAACAAGUAGCUGACUACAAAAGUCCCUAGUGCAGACCACUUAUCUACGCCUUUUAUUUACCUUAUCAUACUUGUUGAAUUUCUUAUUUCUUGCGUGUACAACCAGCAACUUCUUUCUAGUCUUAUUUGUUAGUGUGAUUUAACUUUUUAAUUAAAUCCUAAUGCUAAUCAGCUUUAUAGGAAUCAAAAAAUGAAAUGAUAGAUCACUCACUCUUGCACUAAGUCAGUUCCAUUCUGGUCGCUCAUACUGAUGCAUCUACAGCAGUCCAAAAGGCUGCCUGACCAUUAUUGGCCAGCAAAAAGCUAACAGUAGUACAUUUCUGAGAUUUGCUUGUCGCUAUUUUUUUUACCUGUUUCAGAGCUUACCCGUAAGACAAGGUACGGGUGUGUACCAUGAUCUCUAUUGGAAGAACUGAACUGAAGAACAAACAGACUGGUAUUCCUGAUCUUUAGUGCAGGUAACAUGUGAUCUCUAUUGCCGAGUUUUAGGACUUGGAAAGUCUAAGUAGUAGGGGCUAAAUGAGAAUGUAAUAGACUUAGCCAUGAAGGUCUAAGAAAUGAUUCUGAUCUUUAUUUAGAAACAAGCUCAAGUUUUGAGAAAUAAUAAAAUGCGGUAUACCUUUGUAAGCCUCUAAGUGAGCCUCAAAUUAUUUAGUCUGCCUUUAUCCAAGCCUGAGAAAUUAUGAGUCUAAAUGUAACAUUCAACUUCUUAUCAUAUUGUAUUGAAUAGUAACCAUGAACAUCAGGAGAUAUCCACAGAUAUGAAUAAUAUAUCAUGCAUAUAGAGCAUCCUUAUAUUGCACACUAUUGCACAAACUGGUACAAACUAUUCUCACACUACAUAGAUACAUACAUCAUGAUAAUACUUUCAAUGUUACCGUAGAUUUAAAAAUACUGAAAUCCGUACUAAUGCAAACAUAGCUAGUAAUUAAGUGCAGGUACUGCAAAUCUGCUAGGCAGAUUUGCUGAGUGACCUGGCCUAUAUAUAGAUGUAUUCCUUCCUCCUUCAAUAGCGAGGGCCUUAUUUACCAUAACCAAAUGAUGGAGCCAACAUCCUGAUUUCUUCAUCUUCCAUCUUCCAGAAUAUCUCAGGGCAUUUGUAAUCCCACAUAGCAGGUGAUGGCAGAGGGCAGGGGAUACUACUGCAUGUCUUCUCUUUCCCUUCAGCAAUGCCCAGCAAGGCAGGUGCCUGCGGUGCCUCGAUUUCUCUCCAUAUCUGAUCCAUGGGAUAU